CCUACGGGGGGCAGCAGUGGGGAAUAUUGCACAAUGGGCGCAAGCCUGAUGCAGCCAUGCCGCGUGUGUGAAGAAGGCCUUCGGGUUGUAAAGCACUUUCAGCGGGGAGGAAGGCGUUAAGGUUAAUAACCUUGUCGAUUGACGUUACCCGCAGAAGAAGCACCGGCUAACUCCGUGCCAGCAGCCGCGGUAAUAUGGAGGGUGCAAGCGUUAAUCGGAAUUACUGGGCGUAAAGCGCACGCAGGCGGUCUGUCAAGUCGGAUGUGAAAUCCCCGGGCUCAACCUGGGAACUGCAUUCGAAACUGGCAGGCUAGAGUCUUGUAGAGGGGGGUAGAAUUCCAGGUGUAGCGGGGAAAUGCGUAGAGAUCUGGAGGAAUACCGGUGGCGAAGGCGGCCCCCUGGACAAAGACUGACGCUCAGGUGCGAAAGCGUGGGGAGCAAACAGGAUUAGAUACCCGGGUAGUC
rnacentral:rRNA from 1 species